UUGCUUCUCUUGAGAGCGGCGGACGGGUGAGUAAUGCCUAGGAAUCUGCCUGGUAGUGGGGGAUAACGUCCGGAAACGGACGCUAAUACCGCAUACGUCCUACGGGAGAAAGCAGGGGACCUUCGGGCCUUGCGCUAUCAGAUGAGCCUAGGUCGGAUUAGCUAGUUGGUGGGGUAAUGGCUCACCAAGGCGACGAUCCGUAACUGGUCUGAGAGGAUGAUCAGUCACACUGGAACUGAGACACGGUCCAGACUCCUACGGGAGGCAGCAGUGGGGAAUAUUGGACAAUGGGCGAAAGCCUGAUCCAGCCAUGCCGCGUGUGUGAAGAAGGUCUUCGGAUUGUAAAGCACUUUAAGUUGGGAGGAAGGGCAGUAAAUUAAUACUUUGCUGUUUUGACGUUACCGACAGAAUAAGCACCGGCUAACUCUGUGCCAGCAGCCGCGGUAAUACAGAGGGUGCAAGCGUUAAUCGGAAUUACUGGGCGUAAAGCGCGCGUAGGUGGUUCGUUAAGUUGGAUGUGAAAUCCCCGGGCUCAACCUGGGAACUGCAUUCAAAACUGACGAGCUAGAGUAUGGUAGAGGGUGGUGGAAUUUCCUGUGUAGCGGUG
rnacentral:rRNA from 1 species